rnacentral:rRNA from 1 species
UACGUAGGGGGCAAGCGUUGUCCGGAUUUAUUGGGCGUAAAGAGCGUGUAGGCGGUCCGACGAGUCCGCUGUGAAAGUCCAGGGCUCAACCCUGGAAUGCCGGUGGAAACUGUCAAGCUUGAGUCCGGAAGAGGCGAGUGGAAUUCCUGGUGUAGCGGUGAAAUGCGCAGAUAUCAGGAGGAGCACCAAUGGCGAAGGCAGCUCGCUGGGACGGUACUGACGCUGAGACGCGAAAGCGUGGGGAGCAAACAGG